CCGACGUGGACAUCCAGCGAGCUGCUCUCCUGGCUCUGUCCUGGUGGCAGUAUGGGAGCGUAGCUUUUCAGCAGAGACGUACAUUCCCGUUCCACACCGUCGGAGAGAAAGCUCUGUCCCCGGCCUCUGGCUGGGGUGGACGAGCGUCCUGUAUAUUCCUACAUCUUCCCAGAGUCCUACUGGACCGUUACUGGGGAGCUAAACCAUGCAGUGCACAAAC
rnacentral:snoRNA from 13 species